rnacentral:rRNA from 1 species
GAAAGUACUUCGGUACAUCGGUGACAGGUGGUGGCAUGGUUGUCGUCAGCUCGUGUCGUGAGAUGUUGGGUUAAGUCCCGCAACGAGCGCAACCCCUAUUGUUAGUUGCCAUCAUUCAGUUGGGCACUCUAGCGAGACUGCCGGUAAUAAACCGGAGGAAGGUGGGGAUGACGUCAAAUCAUCAUGCCCCUAUGACCUGGGCUACACACGUGCUACAAUGGUUGGUACAACGAGUUGCGAGUCGGUGACGGCGAGCUAAUCUCUUAAAGCCAAUCUCAGUUCGGAUUGUAGGCUGCAACUCGCCUACAUGAAGUCGGAAUCGCUAGUAAUCGCGGAUCAGCACGCCGCGGUGAAUACGUUCCCGGGCCUU